GACCAAAGAGGGGGACCUUCGGGCCUCUUGCCAUCGGAUGUGCCCAGAUGGGAUUAGCUUGUUGGUGGGGUAAUGGCUCACCAAGGCGACGAUCCCUAGCUGGUCUGAGAGGAUGACCAGCCACACUGGAACUGAGACACGGUCCAGACUCCUACGGGAGGCAGCAUG
rnacentral:rRNA from 1 species